rnacentral:rRNA from 1 species
GAUGAACGCUGGCGGUGUGCUUAACACAUGCAAGUCGAGCGGUGAAGCCAUUAUUGCCUUGCGGAUUUGUGGCGAACGGGGGCGUAAGACGGGAGUACCCUGCUCUUGACUGCGGGUUACGUCUGGGUAACUCGGUCUAAUACUGGCUAUGACUCCUCAUCGUUCAGUGGGGGGAGGAGAGAUUUAUUGGUCUUGGAUUGGCUCGUGGCUUAUCUGCUUGUUGUUGAGGUAUUGGAUCACCAAGGCGACGGCGGGUAGCCGGCCAGAGAGGGUAACUGGCACGACGGCCACUGAGACACGGCACGGACUACUGCGGGAGACAGGAGUGUGGACUAAUGCACGAUGGGCGCAAGUCUGAUGCAGCAACGCCGCGUGAGGGAUGGCGACCUUCGUGUUGUAGAGCUCUUUCAGUAGGGAAGAAGCGUUAGUGACGGUACCGUAUGAAGAAGCGCCGGCUAACUACGUG